UACGUAGGGUGCAAGCGUUAAUCGGAAUUACUGGGCGUAAAGCGCGUGUAGGCGGUCCGGUAAGUCCGCUGUGAAAGUCGGGGGCUCAACCCUCGAAUGCCGGUGGAUACUGUCGGGCUAGAGUGCGGAAGAGGCGAGUGGAAUUCCUGGUGUAGCGGUGAAAUGCGCAGAUAUCAGGAGGAACACCAAUUGCGAAGGCAGCUCGCUGGGACGUUACUGACGCUGAGACGCGAAAGCGUGGGGAGCAAACAGG
rnacentral:rRNA from 1 species